rnacentral:lncRNA from 1 species
UAUGGUGAAACAACAGAAAUAAUAAAUGUUCUGAACUUUUUUAUCAUCCCUAUAGAAGCAUAAGCAAGUAUGAUUAUGCUCAAAAAGACUAAGAACGGGACUGACCUGAAUUUGUGUAAAACAACAGCCCUAUGCCUGGAGAAAGCAAGCACUGUCACCUGGAAAAGUGGUACAAUUCAGACUGUGAUGUGCUUACCAGGGUGUCCAUGUGCAGGAGGGCAGACUGCUGGCUUGCCUUCUAUCCACGUACACGCAUGAGAGAUUUUUUACAACGCCGCC